rnacentral:rRNA from 1 species
AAUAGAUACCCGGGUAGUCCACGCCGUAAACGAUGAGUGCUAAGUGUUAGAGGGUUUCCGCCCUUUAGUGCUGCAGCAAACGCAUUAAGCACUCCGCCUGGGGAGUACGGCCGCAAGGCUGAAACUCAAAGGAAUUGACGGGGGCCCGCACAAGCGGUGGAGCAUGUGGUUUAAUUCGAAGCAACGCGAAGAACCUUACCAGGUCUUGACAUCCUUUGCCACUCCUAGAGAUAGGAUUUUCCCCUUCGGGGGACAAAGUGACAGGUGGUGCAUGGUUGUCGUCAGCUCGUGUCGUGAGAUGUUGGGUUAAGUCCCGCAACGAGCGCAACCCUUGUUCUUAGUUGCCAGCAUUUAGUUGGGCACUCUAAGGAGACUGCCGGUGACAAACCGGAGGAAGGUGGGGAUGACGUCAAAUCAUCAUGCCCCUUAUGACCUGGGCUACACACGUGCUACAAUGGAUGGUACAAAGGGUCGCGAAACCGCGAGGUCCGAGCCAAUCCCAUAAAACCAUUCUCAGUUCGGAUUGUAGGCCGCAACUCGCCUAC